UGAAGCAGCCCGAGGGCAGUGCUGGUGCUUGACAGCCCCUCCGCCAGAGCCCUGUCCUGCGAGGUACAGAGCCAUGUGCUGAGGGCCUCAUGAGACUGUGAGCUGCAAAUAGGCAGGGCUGGGCUGCAGAGCUGAUCUCCAGUGAGCCCCAUCUGAAGCAAUGCUGUGUCCCUGGGGACGUCCUCUGUGCAACUGCAACAGCACCAGCACCAAAUAUCCGUGAAGAUGACUGGCCUCAGCUUCCAUCUGACAUUCUUUGACUAAAGAACCUUUUAACAUAUAAUGACAAUACCUACAGACUAUAAUUAAGUCUUCA
rnacentral:lncRNA from 1 species